UACGGGGGGAGCAAGCGUUGUUCGGAUUUACUGGGCGUAAAGGGCGCGUAGGCGGUCGUGACAAGUCACUUGUGAAAUCUCCGGGCUUAACUCGGAACGGUCAGGUGAUACUGUCGGACUAGAGUACAGAAGGGGCAACUGGAAUUCUCGGUGUAGCGGUGAAAUGCGUAGAUAUCGAGAGGAACACCUGCGGCGAAGGCGGGUUGCUGGGCUGACACUGACGCUGAUGCGCGAAAGCCAGGGGAGCGAACGGG
rnacentral:rRNA from 1 species